rnacentral:tRNA from 1 species
UCCUGGUUUUCUCAGUUGGUAGAGCGCUCCACUAAAAAUGGUGACCCUUGGUUCGAUACCCGGACCGGGAG